rnacentral:rRNA from 1 species
UACAGAGGUCUCAAGCGUUGUUCGGAUUCAUUGGGCGUAAAGGGUGCGUAGGCGGCCAGGUAGGUCUGGUGUGAAAACUCGAGGCUUAACCUCGAGAUGUCAUCGGAAACCAUCUGGCUAGAGUCCGGAAGAGGAGAGUGGAAUUCCUGGUGUAGCGGUGAAAUGCGCAGAUAUCAGGAGGAACACCGGUGGCGAAGGCGGGUCUCUGGACAGUUCCUGACACUGAGGCACGAAGGCCAGGGGAGCAAACGGG